rnacentral:lncRNA from 1 species
GGUAAAGGCAGUGACCUUGUGUGCUUCUCCAGACCAGAAGCGUGAUGUGGCUCGGGAGUCUGUGAACAGCCGUCUGGCUCAAACCCUUACCUUGCUCACGUAUGGAUUUCUGUGUGUCUUGAGCCCUGCCUGCCGUGGACCAGAGAAGCAAGAAGAGGAGCAUCCUGGGCGUACUUACUCAAGAGUCUUACAAAAUGGCAGCCACACGUCUGUCUGCUGUGGUCGACCCUGCUGGUGCCCAUGAGAGGAUCACAGAGGUGAAAAACAUCUACUCUGCAUUACAGGUGAAUUUUUUCCUAAAAU